GUAGGGGCCAAGCGUUAUCCGGAUUUAUUGGGGCGUAAAGAGCUCGUAGGCGGCUUGGCAAGUCGGUCGUGAAAGUCCGAGGCUCAACCUCGGGAAUGCCGGGUCGAAACUGCCAUGGCUAGGGUUCGGUAGAGGAGAGUGGAAUUCUCGGUGUAGCGGUGAGAUGCGCAGAUAUCGAGAGGAACACCAGUAGCGAAGGCGGCUCUCUGGGCCGAUACCGACGCUGAGGAGCGAAAGCGUGGGGAGCAAACAGGAUUAGAUACCCUGGUAGUCCACGCCGUAAACGGUGAUCACUAGGUGUGGCGGACUCAUUGACGUCUGCUGUGCCGGCGCUAACGCAUUAAGUGAUCCGCCUGGGGAGUACGGCCGCAAAGGCUA
rnacentral:rRNA from 1 species